UACAGAGGGUGCGAGCGUUAAUCGGAAUUACUGGGCGUAAAGCGUGCGUAGACGGUAGCGUAAGUCAGAUGUGAAAGCCCCGGGCUCAACCUGGGAAUUGCAUUUGAGACUGCUCUGCUCGGGUGCGGAAGAGGGAAGCGGAAUUUCCGGUGUAGCGGUGAAAUGCGUAGAUAUCGGAAGGAACACCAGUGGCGAAAGCGGCUUCCUGGUCCGACACCGACGUUCAGGCACGAAAAGCGUGGGGGAGCAAACAGGG
rnacentral:rRNA from 1 species